rnacentral:rRNA from 1 species
UACGUAGGUGACAAGCGUUGUCCGGAUUUAUUGGGCGUAAAGAGCUCGUAGGCGGUUCAGUAAGUCGGGUGUGAAACCUCCAGGCUCAACCUGGAGACGCCACCCGAUACUGCUGUGACUGGAGUCCGGUAGGGGGAUCUGGAAUUCCUGGUGUAGCGGUGGAAUGCGCAGAUAUCAGGAGGAACACCGGUGGCGAAGGCGGGAUCCUGGGCCAGUACUGACGCUGAGGAGCGAAAGCGUGGGGAGCAAACAGG